rnacentral:rRNA from 1 species
AAGGGUAAUAUCCUUGAGUGUUGACGUUACCUACAGAAGAAGCACUGGCUAACUCUGUGCCAGCAGCCGCGGUAAUACAGAGAGUGCGAGUGUUAAUCGGAAUCAUUGGGCGUAAAGCGCGCGUAGGUGGAUGUUUAAGUCGGAUGUGAAAUCCCUGGGCUUAACCUAGGAAUUGCACUCGAUACUGGGCAUCUUGAGUAUGGUAGAGGGAAGUGGAAUUUCCGGUGUAGCGGUGAAAUGCGUAGAUAUCGGAAAGAACACCAGUGGCGAAGGCGGCUUCCUGGAUCAAUACUGACACUGAGGCGCGAAAGCGUGGGGAGCAAACAGGAUUAGAGACCCUGGUAGUCCACGCUGUCAACGAUGAGAACUAGCUGUUGGAGAGUUUACUUUCUAGUAGCGAAGCUAACGCGUUAAGUUCUCCGCCUGGGGAGUACGGCCGCAAGGUUAAAACUCAAAGAAAUUGACGGGGGCCCGCACAAGCGGUGGAGCAUGUGG